rnacentral:misc_RNA from 1 species
GCGAAGCUCGGAACGUAUCGCCGUGCACUGAAGCUGGCCGGAAACGGCAUGUGCUCGUCCGGUGUGCGUCCCUUCUCUAUCCACCCCUUUGUGAACCGAGCAUGCAGAUCAAGGAGAGAUCCGAGGUCUGCACGCACACCUUUACAUACCCCAAUCAAGUAACAGAAUGUAACAUGCGAUGAAUCGCACAAAUA